rnacentral:lncRNA from 1 species
UGUUGUUUAGAGACAGGGUCUCAUGCAGCCCAGCCUGGCCUCAAACUUGCUGUGUAGCUGAGAGUGGCCUGAAACUUCUCAUCUUCCUACUUCCACUUCCUUCCCAAAAGCUAGAUUAUAGUUGUGUUUUAUGUGAUGCUGGAGAUCAAACCCUGGGCACCGAGUAUGCUAGGCAAACACUCCACCAACUGGCUAUACCCCAAGCCCCAGGAGAGAGAGAACACCCUUUCUUGCUCACGGUCCCAGCUGUCCCAGGCUUCUCCCUUCUCAGGCUGCCUAUCCUGGGCCACUCCAGCCAUCACAACCUUCAGCCGUGAAGAGUUCCAGGCAGCAGCUAACCGUCCUUGAGCUUCCUCAUGCACCAUCCGGUGUGACCUUCACCACAAGCAUAAGCCAUCUACCUUUUACAGUGGGAGAAACAGACGUGAUGAAAGAAAACCAAUUUCCCAGAGUUGUAGGAACUUGCACAAGAAUGGCCCCUCUGCCUGCCUCUAGGUCUACAGUGGGUCCCUUUCACCAUGACAACAGAAUCCUUGAAGUUUGACCCUGACUCAGAAUUGGUCUGACCUCCCUCCUGAGCUUCAAACCCCAAUUCCAGUGUCCACUGGGCUCCCCCAGGGCUUUCCCAGAACCAUCUCAAUCCCAAGCCUCAUCCUCCCCCUCCAUGCUCAGCUUGCCUGGUAGAACACAGUCAUCCUUGGCUCCCUUCUUUACCAUCACAUCCUACCUAGGCCCAUUACCCCUCAAAUCUCAGGGCUGCUCCUUCCUUCCAGACAGGCCACAACCUCACAUAGCUAAUCUCCCAGUUUUCUGUACUACACUGUCAGUCAGGUAUAGCUUCCUACUGAAACCCUUGUCUUCACUCCACCUGGCCCACCUUAUCAACACAGGACUUCUAAAGUCCCAGG